AUUAGCAGCAAUGUUUCUCCUAAUGCAUUACAUUUCCCCCCAAUUUGAUCUUGAUAGAUGUAAAUGAAUGUGACUGGGAUCCAUGUGGUCUGAACUCCACCUGCUCCAACACCAUCGGCAGCUACAACUGCUCUUGCUGGAGAGGAUACACUCCAACCAACUCAUCUCUGCCUAUUAGUACCAGCAACCCAUGCAUAGAUGUGAAUGAAUGUGACUGGGAUCCAUGUGGUCUGAACUCCACCUGCUCCAACACCAUCGGCAGCUACAACUGCUCUUGCUGGACAGGAUACACUCCAACCAACUCAUCUCUGCCUAUUAGUACCAGCAACCCAUGCAUAGAUGUAAAUGAAUGUGACUGGGAUCCAUGUGGUCUGAACUCCACCUGCUCCAACACCAUCGGCAGCUACAACUGCUCAUGCUGGAGAGGAUACACUCCAACCAACUCAUCUCUGCCUAUUAGUACCAGCAACC